AGAGUUUGAUCCUGGCUCAGAUUGAACGCUGGCGGCAUGCCUUACACGUGCAAGUCGAACGGCAGCGCGGGCUUCGGCCUGGCGGCGAGUGGCGAACGGGUGAGUAAUACAUCGGAACGUG
rnacentral:rRNA from 1 species